GGAGUUAUGAAAUGCCGGUGGGGGAAAUCCUGUCGGCUUGACAAAGGCCCAAGAGGAAGCCACGGCUAACUUCGUGCCAGCAGCCGCGGUAAUACGAAGGUGGCAAGCGUUGUUCGGAAUCACUGGGCAUAAAGGGCGUGUAGGCGGUUCGGUAAGUCGGUAGUGAAAGCCCCCGGCUCAACCGGGGAAGUGCUACCGAUACUGUCGAACUCGAGUGCGGGAGGGGAGAGUG
rnacentral:rRNA from 1 species